AGACAACGUAAAUACAUUUACAUUGUAGCCUACAUGUCAUGCACAAAGCGUGUUUUUAGCAGUAGUUGUUAGCAGUGGUAUUGAAGAGAAACACACAAGGACCACAACACAUCAACCGGACUUUUGCAGGGAGAACAAGAAAACUCCAACGUGAUACGACACUACACUCCCACUGGAUGAAGAUUCAUCAUCUGUGUUGACUGCUGCUUGGCCUUAUGCCAGGACUUUGAUGAGGGGAUCUGCCUGCCAUAUUAUUUCUUUCCGAAUCUCUGGGGCACGGCCAUACUCCAGAUCUGACCGGGGACGGCAUCCCAAUCACUGGAAUGCAUCUGAUCCUCCGACACUACCUGGUCUCUGGAGCCGCGGCUAAACCAGCGAAGGAGGAGGAACAGAGGAUCUGUAAUGGCACUGACCUCUGGGGCUGACGGAGGACGGAGUUCCUGGUUUCUCUCUGAGAUCCGAGCAGCAGAGCUCUCAGCACUGCGGUCAGCAGACGAUCAUCAAUGCUGUUAUCUGUGUUUUCACUCUCCUGGAGUACAGCAGCAUACACACAAACGCAUAUGAAACCUUGCAUCAAAAAGCUAGAACACUUGGAACAACAUCAAAAACCCUAACUGCAUUCAAUUUUGAGUUGCAGCACCAACUCCAGGGUUUGUAACUCCAGCAAGUCCUUCCUGCUGUGCCAAGGGACCUUGAGAUGUAGAUAUCAGUUUGCAGAAAUGUAUCUCACUCCCGCUCUGAUAUCCAUCCACCCUUAUCUUUAUGCAAAAUAAAGAUCUGUCGGUCUCUGCAUGCCACCGUGGGAAAACAUUAUAAUUUUCCUCGAGAUCUUCAUCCUCCUCCUCUACCGUGUUCUGUCUGUUGACCCCAGAAUAUAUUACAGUGUAUUUCACACUGUUGCAUGGAGAGGAACACGAUCUGAAAUCUAAAUGAGUUGUGUGAUUUAGCUUGUCUCACUUGAUAAAAAAGGCUCAAAUCCCAUUUACAUACUUCAUCACAUGGAUUGACAGACUUCUCUGAAAACGUUGGCAUGACUUCUGUCUAAUGUGGCACAGCAGACAUAUUUCAUUUUUCUCAAGUCUCAAUUAGCUAAAUAAAUAAUUAUCUGGUUAAAUAAAUGUUUAAACAUUUUUUUUAUCCUGACUCACAGUAUAAUUUAACACAAAACCAUGUGUGCCUGCGACACGUCUCAAAAUGUGAUUUUUAUUUUCAGAUGCCAAAAAUUAUUUUGGCAAAUUGAAUAUGAUGAAACAUGAGUCACAUGGUAUAAAGCACACAUAAAUGGUGCUAUUC